AUUUUACAGCGUCUCCACUGUUUUGUAAUUGGGGUCGUAAGUGUCUUUAGCUUUGCAGAUUUGCUUUAAUCGUAUUUUAAACUCAUCAGUGAAUUUCCUCUAAUAAACAGAGAUUCGCUGUUAAAAAUAGGAGAGUAAGUAGGCCAGUAUAAACUGCUGUUGAUGAAGGCUGUGUUAAUUUAUUUGCUAUCUCUAGUUAAAGUUAAUGUGAAACUUUGUCUUUAUGAAUCACACCAAAGCAGAGAUUUCCAUUCAUGCUGUCAUCGCCAAAGGCUUUAUUCCUCAGACUGGGAUUUCUCUCUUUUUAAACAAGUGACAGACAGUAUGUUCAGCUUCAGGUGAACUCUAGUAACCUCUGCAUGCUAGAGCAACUUCCACUAAAGCCCAGUAAGAUAUUUACCUCCCCAAACCAGGCUUAACCUCCACAAAUCUCCUUACAAUGGGGUUAUGGGAGGAUACAAACAAAGACCGCAGAGUUCAAGGGCCACAAAUUGGGGCCGGAGAAAUGUUUCUGUCGCUGACCAACCUCAGCAGCGCGGUUAGCCGUGUCAUUUUCCUGUCCCGUCUUUGUGAUAGAUGGAUAGUGGUGAACCUCAGAGGAAAUCUCACAUUGCUGUGUGUACGCACACGCACUCAACGAUCGCACAAAUGCGUGUGCCAAGCCCUCGGAUGCCUCUCAGCGAGCCUGUGUACAAAUGAAAUGUGUGGGCACGCUGCGUUCCUCUAGAGGCAGGAUGCUGUUUCCACAUCCUUUUCUCUGCCUAUAAUUAGCCGUCCUGAUAAAACACCGGUUUGCUGGCGCUUGCAGGAUCAAACAAUGACGAGCAGGCAGCUCUCUUCACAGCACACUGCAGACGCCAGGUGGCUGUCCUUGAGCUGAGAGCUGGGCUAUAUGCGGUACGCAUCUGGAGGGCAAUUAAUCAGAGAAAAGCAAUUGUGAUAUGAUAUGAUACCACCCUUGCAAUCAUAAUUACCAGAGACAGAGUCCUUGUGAGUCAUGUAAGAUUAGAUUCCUGAUAUUAAGUGGAUUGGUAAAUACUAAGGAGGUUUUGUCAGGAUUCCAAUUUUGCAUUUUCACUGACUCAUGUCAUUAAGGUGCCCUGAGCGCACUGUUAGAAACUGAAUCUAUUACAGCCAUCCUCAGCCUCAGCGCGCCUCCUUCUUCCCCCCCAAGCUCUAUUUACACAAAUAAAGCUGCACAAACACACAGGCCAGAACACACAAACACACAACACUCUGUUUAAAUCAGCGGUCAAGUUUGGGACUGUGGGAAAAUCACUGUGUUUGUCCUAAAAUAUGAGGAAGAGUGGAGACUCCUCUAACCUUUCAGCUAUUUUUUUAAUGAAUCAGAAUUUCAUCAGAAUAAAUUAUCAAAAGCAGAGAAAGCAGGAGUGAAAUCUGAUUGAGCGCUCUUCAAUCCUAAAUUGUUAUUGGCUGUUUGCCAUAUUGAAACCAUCAGCUUUUCAAUGUGGAACUUUUUCUUUUAAAUAGUAAUUUUAGACGAACCACUAAAGGUUGUUAAACACCAGUGAAUUAGUGAAGUGACGUGAAAAGAUAGAUAGAUAGAUGUACUUUAUUGAUCCCAAACUGGGAAAUUCUCUAAAUAUUCUAAAUAAAAUAUUCGGCUUAGGUCUAUUCCUAACCACACCUGGUGCAAUGCAAAUAAAAUUUGCAUAUCACAAAGCCACAUGUCUGAUAGAUUUCUGUCUAUAGAUUUAUAUAAUUACAAUUGCUUUUUCGCUCUGUUGAAGUUCGUAGCUGUUGUGGAAGCUUGCAUUGACUUUAACAGGUUUAAAAAAAAAAAAAGUGAAUUAUUCGCUUCGCAAAUUCGCCUUGCUGAUUCGCCGGUGUGUAACGACCUUUACUCGCUUAACUUUUGAAAUUCUAAAUCAUGUGAAUACGACAUUUCAGAUACGCCCCUUAUGUUUAUCUAUAAUUAGAUAGAGGCUUCAAUCCCCCAAAAUCAAAACAGUUUUUCUGUCUUGUUGGAUCUUGUUUUUUUUUUAUUGUCACUUCUAUUGUUUUUUUUUUUACAUUAUCUGUGUGAGCAAAAGGGGCGGUGUAGACACCAGAUCUGCACCUGUUUAAGACACCAUACUACGGACAAACUCCAUUUAUCUCAUACGUCAAAUGUUCUCGCUUAAAAGCCCCUCACGGUUUUCUUUUUUCCGUUUGUUCAUUCAGUUGACCUCGAAAUUAUCUCUCCAUAUAAAACAGAGAAUUACAACUGACUGUUCUGUAUUUUUUAGAUGGAUUUAAUAGAAUAUGUUCACUUAUCUAAAGGAAAAAGAGAAAAAAAGAAAAUAUGCAGGAUCUCCGUUUAUCAAUAGAUAGUUUUACUUUUGGUAGCCUAAAAGAGGUGGUCGUCUGGCUGUCGUACGUCCCCUUUAAUAGGAAGCGAUAGAUUUCUUCAUAAAAUUAAUCAAUGUUUUCUCUGAAGAACGACAAUCCCAUGAAACCGAAUGCAGUGAAAACCUCUUCCAUAAUGUCCAGACCAAACGCAAUCUUCUACGUCAUCUGAACAAACUUCCAGUCAAUCAUAUAGCGUAACGUCAUCAAUAGGCGCUGGACCCCUCGAACACGUCUGUGGUUAAAUAUGUUUUUUUUUUAACCUGAAAUACGACUCGAUCUCUCCGAAUUCUCACUGUCUAUUGUCUGUGUCGCCGAUCAUGAAUUAGGGAGCUGUGAAAUGACCGCAGUGUGCCGGAUUAAUUUCCAUACGGUCCCUAGAGACACUCUGUGAAUCUCCCCUUGAGAUUAAAUCUGCUGAGGGGGGGAAAAAAAAAGAAAGAGCACGUUCAGAGUGAAAUGUAAAAGUAGGUUACAGGUGGGAGGUUGCAGCGGUGUCGCCCUGCGCUUGCAGCUUUCAUUUAAAUGUCAAGACAUACCCGUGGAAAGACUGACCUUAUUUUUCUCCCUACCAUCGACUGUGAAUCGGUUUGUAUGCAGCUGACAGGACUAUCAUUAUGUAGAAAUUCACUUUAAAUAUAUAAGUCCGAGCUGUCAAUAGAAAAUGAAAUAGUUGUUGAUCAGACUGCUUUCUAAAAGCUGCCAAAUCACCAAUUCCUCUGAGUUUCCUCUGAACUUUUUACUUCUAAAACCUCCAUCAAGGCCGCCCCGCAUUGACAGCAAACUCAUUCAUGAUGUCUGGUGGCCGACCGCCUCGGGCUGAGAGCCGCGGCGCUAAAUUGACAAUUUUGGCUUUGUGUGGUGGAAGCUUUUGUGAUAAAGAGCAACACUCAGUGUAAACUGUCAUUAAAGAGCCAGUACUUCACUUACACUUUGAAACCCUGUCGACUGCUCCAACACAAAUGGCAAAAAAAAAAAAAAGAGGUUAUAAUUGGCCGUCAUAAAGGGAAAAGGGUCGCUCUUGCAGACUUUCACAGUAGGCGGUUUCUUUCCUUAUCCCCUCGACUCUUUCACUUCCUCGUGCUUCUAAUCAAACGGACAGUAAGAUGGAGAGAGACGGAGUCACAUGAGAAAGAGGAGCUAAUCUGGCAUGAUCAGACAGGCAGCGUGUCAAUGGACCUCACGUCAAGUAGCAGUCGUGUGAUCUCGUGAGGACGAGUUGGGUCGGUUUGAGGUCUGGGGGCGCAAAGGGGAGGAGGAGGAGGAUGGUUGGCGUUGUCUUCUCCACCGCUCAGAGGUGGUAUCUCCUCGUCUUUUGGGCGUAACCAUAAACGACAGAAUCACUUGGAAAUCACAUAUCGAGCAUGUACAAAUCAAAGUCUCAAGAAGCAUCGCAUUGGAUCACAAAUCACUUCACACUCUUUACUGUUCCCUAAUCUGAGGUUUGGGGCAACAACUAUAAAACGUCACUACAGCCACUGACCACCAUUCAAAAAAAGAGCAAUACGAGUUUUUACACAAUGUUGCCCAUCAGGAACACACACACUUCUUAUUUCUGCAAUCUAAUCUCAAAUAAUGUUUAAAGCUAAAAAUAAUCAUCUACCAAUAAAUAUACAGAAAUUAUUCAGUAUGUGAGGGAGGUUAUAGUUUAAGGGGGAAAAUUAACUUUAAUUUAAGUUUGAUUCAGACAAAGAGGAACAGUCUGUGUAUUAUUCAUCCAUUUAAUUAUUCUAUUCAAUCUAGUAAACAAAAAACGAAAAAAAAAAAAAAAAAACGAGUCAAUAUUUUGUUUGUUUUUCUAUAUAACCAAAAAAAUAAAAGGUUAGUGUUUGUUUUUGUAUUUUCAGUUCAAAACAGAAUAUUUAACAGAGAUGUAAACGAAAACAAAAUAAUGAAUCUACUUUUCAUUUCUGGGUUCUUUAUGUCCCCAUUUCCCACCGUGCCUUUCUACCGUUCGCACAUGUGCAUUGCACAAUAAAGUAGCCAACAGUGUGGAACAACAACUCCAGGCCAGAGCGGUAGAGAAAGGCUAACCUGCUGUCAUGGAGAUGGACGCAUCCUACAUAUUAUUUAAAGCCGUCAGGAGGGUCGAGCUGAAGGAGGAAGAUAUGACUGUAGAGAAAAUUACAACCAGAGCUCUGUUACAACCAAGAUUUUGGUGCUCGAACUGCUCUGUCACAACUUCGCCAUGGUAACUGUCACUGAGGAUCAUGGGAAAGCCAGUGUAGCCUCCAUGCAUGUAUGCUCAAAACAGAUGACUCAAAAUCAAUAAUUGUAAAUAAGAUUUAUUAUUUCAUUUUCAUUUCCAUCUCUAUUAUAUUUUCUGUUUUGAGCUGAAAAUAUGAAAACACAAUUUUUUCAUUUUUUAAUUAUAUAGAAAAACAAAUAAACAAAAUAUUGACUCGAGGUGCUAUGAGGUUAUAGUUUUUUUGUUUUGUUUGUUUCUUUCUUGUUUUAUUUUUUGUUGUCGUUUUAUGUUUGCGCAGUAUGAAGUGGAUGUAGAUUUUGUUUGUAAUACAAAGUCAUGAAUGUACUUUAUUUAUCAUGAUUAUCAGGUACAUCGAAACACGUACCCUCGGUGUGGGUACGUCAUAAGUUCUUCUUCUUCUCACUCCUUUUCGAAUAUGUAUUUCUAUUUUUUAAAUGUUUUGCCUUUCUUUUCUUGUUUUAAAAAAUCAAUCUUUCAGGGUUAGAGCCAAAGCAAAGCUGAAGUUUGGACGUGAUGAUGCUAUUCCACCUAUAAACCAAAAUCCUCAGCUGUUAGCAUCUCUCCAAGGAUUAGCCUCGCGGGUCAGAUUAUAAAACCAUCUGCGACAUUGGUAGGUACGUCAAAACACACGAGGCUUUUUCUAGAUUAUCCCGAGCUUUAUGGACGCUUUGCACGACAGAGACUUUCUUUUUUUUUUUUAUGUUUCCACUUGACAUGUGGGACUCUGGCGUCAUGUUGUUAAUCACAAAAUCUAACGUUCUGCAACUUUCCAGAAAGGUGGGCUGCACACAUCGGCUCUCCUGUUGUGUUUUCCUGCAGGAGUGGUCUCGUCGUGUCAAGUUUAUGUGUGAAAGAGCGAUUGCACAUUCGACUGAGCUCACACAGUGGUCAGCCUGGUGUCAGUUUCAGGGCUGUAAAGGGUUGUGGCUUUUUGGCCCGUACAGGACUGAGGUGCAGCAGGUGUCUAAGGAGACUGAGGUGAGGGUGACCUCUUCUUUUGGCCUCAUACCAAAAGCAGACGAGGGAAACAAAACUUGACAUCUCUGAGCCUUUUGUUGGCUAAAAUAAAACCCUCACUUGAGCUCUAAAGGAAAGUUAAAGGUCGCCUAUUAUGAAAAAAAAAAACACACUUUUGGGUGGUUUUACACCAGUAAUAUGCAUCCCCUUGAAUCUGACAAACACCCCCCCAUCCCGGCAUGAUAAAAUUUCAUUCUCUCUCUCUUUUGCUUUCCCCUCCUUUCUGAAAACAUGAGCGCAAAUGGGCGAAUGGAAAAGCUGUGCGGUUCUGAUGAAAUAACCGAAUAAGCCCCUCCUACAUGUUGGUGGAAGUGCCCCUGAUAAUCGUCAGCCCAGCCCUCUGAAACUUCUCCGCUGAGGUAGCGUCCACCUUUUUUGAUAUGAAAUAUCAUAUUCAUAUAUGAAAUGAUAUGAAAUAUUCUGAGGCGAAUUUUGAUGCGCCUGACUAUACACAUUAAGCGCGAUGCGAUUUUGCGACUUUCUGAGGGGAAAAAAGACGUGUCCUGGUUGGAAGCGAGAAGACUGACACAACAGCAGACUGAGUGUUUUUCAGUUCUAAUUAGACUCUAGUGUUGAGAUGUCUGUCUGUCAUGAUAGCAUGUACUGAGUCGGGGUCAGUACCAGAUAAGAACAUUAAACUAUAAUCCAUAAACGUAACGUAACAACUGAGACCGAUUAAGUUUGAGUUUACAGUUAAAAUACAUAUGGUAUGUUGUAUCUGAACAGGUUAGCUUACGAGCUAAAGUUACUUAGCACAGAUAAAAGUUCAAACAAAGACGUUUAGCAAACUGUUAAAGCACACAAACCAUCGUCAUAUGAGAAAUCCGACGCUAUGACUCUCCACAAGUUGUCCUUCAGGUCGUUAUCUUUUGUAAUAUUUGUGUCUUUUAUCUAAAAUCACUCUGUUCUCCGACACGUAAACAAUCAUCCGGUCGGCCAUGUUGGAUAUACCGGUGAAUCUGACGUCGCAACAACACGCAAUCUGAUUGGUUUGAAGUGGACACACAGUAUGCGAAACUUUAGAAAAAUCGACAUGAAACGAAUAAAUAAAUGCCACAAUAUCGCAGGACGGGAAAACUGCGCUGAUGUGAACGUUUGUAUUGACAGGAUACGGGUUCGAAAGAAAAUAUUGACGUCCGAAAUAAUCGCACAUAAAAAAGGACCUUAAUGUCGAUGGAAAUGUACCAACAACAACAACGAAAAUGUUGUAUGUGUGUGCUAACUAUUUCACCACAGACUGUUUUACUAACGAAGGACAGUUAAAAACAGGAUUCACUAAGAAGUUCAUGACAAAACCUGGAUCUGAACCGACUGUCCGUGUCAGGGACCCAACUUUAAACGUGGAAGCUGUUACUUUGACCAUUUUAUGUUGCCUUACCGCCGCCUGUAUGACUAGUGCUAGUGCUACUGCAAUCGCGUGGUUACACACGGCUCAUUCUCAUUUAAAGGUACAGGCGCAGAAUCAGCCCGCUAUCAGUGGAGCUCAAAAAGAAGAGGGUACAGGCUGGCUGAUAUCCACAGAUAAACUGGUGUUUCAGACAACAAACGAUUGUGGGACCUCUGGGACAGAUUUCAACUUGGAUAGGAGACCUUUAAACAUAUGGUUAUAUUAAAGACAUAAGCUCCAAUUUUAAAAGACGAGAGGCAAGUUUUUUGAAAAUGUGGGAACCAUUAACUUCUGUUCGCAUCAUUUUGAUUCUGCAUAUUAAAUCUAAGCAAUGAUAUAACCUGAGUAUCUCCAGGGGCGUCCUUCACAGAUCAGACAGAGCCUUCAAUCUCUCCUGAUCUUUGACUGUUUUAUGAGAAAAUUUGAUAUUUCUUCCUUGAAGCAUUUCCCUCGAGUGCUGCGAUGUUCUUUUGAGUCAAUGUUUGACCAAACACAUGCAGCGAUUCUGGUAAACGGAAAUACAAUAUCCCAGUAAUACUGGAGUCCCUACAUGCAUCAGAAAAAAAAGAUUUGUAAGCCUUGGGAGAGGAGAAACAAAGGAUCGAGUUUUCCCAUUUGCUCUCGGUAGGAAAUCUGUAAUGUGAGGGCAAAGGGCUCGCUGGGCUCUUGUCUGAUAAGUCGGGGCGUUCUGUGUUAGUUGCAUUGAUGGAAAAAAAUCCUUUAAAGGGUUUAAGUUUUCACGCUGCUGAAGUCAAUACACAUUCUCCUCUGGAUGCAGGGACAGUGUCUCCUCUUUCUCUCUCUGUCUGUCUGUCUUUGUUUCUCUCUUGGUAAUUCUUCGUUUCUCUCUGCAGCUCCACUCUCCUCCUAUCUCCCAUCUAUCUAUCACUGUUUCCACCGGCUUAUUUCUAUUUCUCACACUUUUCUCCCUCUCUUGUACUGUACCACGGUGGAGGCGCAUCAAUACGAGUGCAGAGUGGACAAUUUAUUACGACAGCAGGGGAAUGAAAAUACCAACCUGACAAUCAAUUUGCUUCUUAACUGUGUCCCGAAUCCCAAUUUAUCUCCAUUGUUGAUUUCAUCUCCUAUUUACUGGCAUGUUCUGCGUCUCAAUCAAUGAUCCACGUUCCUCCAAUUUCAUAUUUCUGUUCACUUAAACAGCCCUGUCCGAUAUUUUUGAAUGAUGCAGCGACACAAACAUACCGUGCAUGAAUAAACGCUCGGCGCAGUGAAAGUGAAAGUAUGUUAACUAAGUGGCAAACGAAGACGACAAAAAGGAGAAGAAAAAAUAACAUUCAAGGGCGUGUUGUGUUGUGUUGUGCGGUCUCUAAAGAACAGAUGCUAUUUCUGAAGUUGCAGCAUGUACGACACGUGUACUUGAUUCAUGUCGUGUGCUCAAAAAG
rnacentral:lncRNA from 1 species